rnacentral:rRNA from 1 species
AAAGUGGCGCACGGGUGAGUAGCACGUAGGUAACCUACCUCUGUAUUGGGGAUAACCCCGCGAAAGCGGGGCUAAUACCGGAUGAGACCCUGGGAUGGUGGUCUUGGGGUGAAAGCGGGCCUCUCGAAGAAGCUCGCGUACGGGGAUGGGCCUGCGUCCUAUCAGCUAGUUGGUGGGGUAAUGGCCUACCAAGGCGACGACGGGUAGCUGGUCUGAGAGGAUGAUCUGUCACACUGGCACUGGAACACGGGCCAGACUCCUACGGGAGGCAGCAGUGAGGAAUUUUGCGCAAUGGGAGCAAUCCUGACGCAGCAACGCCGCGUGGGUGAAGAAGGCCUUCGGGUCGUAAAGCCCUGUCAGGUGGGAAGAAAGGCACAUGGUUGAACAGGCUGUGUGUUAGACGGUACCACCAGAGGAAGCACCGGCUAACUCCGUGCCAGCAGCCGCGGUAAUACGGAGGGUGCGAGCGUUAUUCGGAAUUACUGGGCGUAAAGCGCGUGUAGGCGGGGAGGUAAGUCUGAUGUGAAAGCCCUGGGCUCAACCUGGGAAGUGCAUUGGAAACUGCCUUUCUUGAGUACUG